GGAAAAUAUAAAAAUAGAAGUGGACAGCCUUUAUUACAGCAUGGAAAGAUUAAAAAUAGUAGUGGACAGCCUUUAUUACAGCAUGGAAAAGAU